rnacentral:rRNA from 1 species
AACAAACGCUGGCGGCGUGCCUAAUACAUGCAAGUCGAACGGGGAAAGCUUUCGGGUGAGUACUAGUGGCGCACGGGUGAGUAACGCGUGGAUAAUCUGCCUUAGAGUGGGGGAUAACUAGUCGAAAGAUUAGCUAAUACCGCAUAAGACCACAAGAACUGCGGUUCAAGGGGUCAAAGGUUUUUCGCUCUAAGAUGAGUCCGCGUAAGAUUAGCUAGUUGGUAGGGUAACGGCCUACCAAGGCGACGAUCUUUAACUGGUCUGAGAGGAUGAUCAGUCACACUGGAACUGAGACACGGUCCAGACUCCUACGGGAGGCAGCAGUAGGGAAUAUUGCACAAUGGAGGAAACUCUGAUGCAGCGACGCCGCGUGAGUGAUGAAGGCCUUCGGGUCGUAAAGCUCUGUCGCAGGGGAAUAACACAAUGAAGGUACCCUGUAAGAAAGGAUCGGCUAACUUCGUGCCAGCCGCCGCCGUAACAC